rnacentral:lncRNA from 1 species
CUCAUCACUAUUACCAAAAUAUUUAUCAUCAAGUAGAUUCAUCAAGUGUAUAAGCACACGUAAGCAAGAUGUGCAAUUAGAGCAUAUAUCAUUUAUUUACAACCAUCGACAAAAUCCACCAAUGUACAUAUACACAAUCCACAUAAAUCACAUCAUUCAACAAUUUCACCAAUGCACAAAUUCAUCAAGUCACAUAUUCAAUUAUGACAUAAUUCAUCAACCAAUCAAUU